CCUACGGGGGGCAGCAGUGGGGAAUAUUGCGCAAUGGGCGAAAGCCUGACGCAGCGACGCCGCGUGAGGGAUGAAGGUCUUCGGAUCGUAAACCUCUGUCAGCAGGGAAGAACGGUCACUGUGCUAAUCAGCAGUGAAUUGACGGUACCUGCAAAGGAAGCACCGGCUAACUCCGUGCCAGCAGCCGCGGUAAUACGGAGGGGGCGAGCGUUAAUCGGAAUUACUGGGCGUAAAGCGCUCGUAGGCGGUAUGUCAAGUCAAGGGUGAAAUCCCCGCGCUCAACGUGGGAACUGCCUUUGAAACUGGCAAACUGGAGUGUGUGAGAGGAUAGUGGAAUUCCAGGUGUAGGAGUGAAAGCCGUAGAUAUCUGGAGGAACAUCAGUGGCGAAGGCGACUAUCUGGCACAUAACUGACGCUGAGGAGCGAAAGCGUGGGUAGCAAACAGGAUUAGAUACCCUAGUAGUC
rnacentral:rRNA from 1 species